CAUUGUUUCCAGUUUCCACUAAUGGCAGCUAUUACCUAACCAGUGAGUGCCACAGGCCGUUUGCUAUUCACAAAGAGGAAAAAGCUUCCAAGAGUGAAUCUUAACUUUUCACACUAAGGCUUACUUAUCUAUUUCUCCUUUUGAAGACAUCCCUUCUUACCAGCUUUCCUGGUUGGAAUUAAACUGCUUCGAAUGUUCACUCUCAGGUUCUAGCCCGGGCAACUAUUACUCCAAGACAAGAUGUAUUUGGUUCUUCUGGGGAUGCUUUGGUUCUGUCCAAGUCUAAAAGGUCAAGAAAACUCUUUCACUAUCAACUCGAUUGAGAUAAAAGCAGAGCCAGGCUGGGAGGUGGAGAACGGGAAGAACCUAACCUUGAAUUGUCUCUUCGACAUAAGCGCCACGUCCAAGCUUCAGUCUCCGCGCCGGGUUCUCUUUUAUAAGGAUGAUAUCCUGAUCAAGAACGUCACCUCCUGGAAUAAAAAAGAGAGCUUUUUUAUUCAGGCUGCUCGACUGUAUGACCGAGGGAACUAUAAAUGUACUGUGAUUCUGAAUAACAAGGAGAAAACCACAAAAGAUUAUUCAGUUUCAGUAAAAGGAGUACCAAGUCCCAGGAUUACAGUGGACAAGAUAGAAGUGAUGGAAGGAGGGGUGGUGAAAGUUGGGUGCUCUGUUCCUGAAGAGAAGCCUCCAAUAUAUUUUAUCAUCGAAAAACUGGAUAUGCAUGUCUUUAAACAAAGAAAAGAAAAAAUGAAACUACAUGAAAAUUUUGUGACUCUGGACUUCCCAAUAGAAGAACGAGACCAUGUUUUAGUUUUUCAAUGCCAGGCCAAGAUCUCUUUUGGGAGUUUCCUGGAGGCCUCAGAAUUCAGCAGGAGUGACUGGGUCACUGUGAGGGAGCCUUUUUCAAUCCCCAAAUUCCAAAUAACACCUGAAGGAGAGAUUACAGAAGGUGACCCCCUCAAACUCGAGUGCACAAUUCUUGUGGCCCCCAUGUUUCUGGAAGAACCUGAAAUCAUCAUCCAGAAAGGCAGGGAGAUUUUGGCCUCUGCCAAACAUGGGACAGAAGUUAGUUACACUCCCUCGUUAGCCAAAGUGGAACACAUUGGGAACUACACCUGCAAAGUAGAAUCUGGCAAGAUAUCUAAAGUCAACAGCGUUUUCAUCAAUAUCACAGAGUUAUUUUCCAAACCCGAGCUGCUGGUUUCUUCCAACCAUCUGGAUGAAGGAGGGAAGCUAGACUUGUCUUGUCAGAUUGAAGGGUCGCUUCCUGCCAACUUUACCAUCCAGAAGGAAAAUACAACAAUAAUAAAUUCUCAGAAUUUUACGAAAAGGGUCUGGGUACAUGACAGUGGGACAUACAGAUGUCUUGGUACAAUCCACAAUGUCAUCAAGGAAAGUGAUCCAGUUCAAAUAUCUGUUUUUGAAAUUGUCUCCAAGCCCAAGAUUUUUCAUAACUCAGCAUCUGAAGUAAUAACAGGGAAGCUCUUAGAAAUCUACUGCCAGUCAACAAAUGGGACACCACCUAUUAUGUACUAUCUUUGUAAAAUGAACUUAUGUGCAAAUCAGAAAGAAAUGUACUCCAAUGAACCAGUUAAAUUCUUGGACACGCCCACUGCAAACACAGAAUAUACUUGCAUUGCUAAAAACCACCAUUCCCAAGGGACAAUGGAUAGUGAUGUUCUGAAUGUUGUGGUCAUCGCUCCAGUUGCCAAGGUCAACUUAUCCAUUCUGCUCCAUGAAGAAGUAGUAAGUGGGAAAGAGGUUGUACUCCGGUGCAGCACAGAUGGAGGGUCUUGGCCAAUUCACUAUAAGUUUUACAGACAUAACUCUAUGGUCCCUUUUGCCACAAUAACCUUAAAUGACACCCAAGCGAUAUGGCAUACUUUACAGGCCAGGAAGGAGGAUGAAGGACAGUACUACUGUACAGCUGCCAACAGAGCCAACAUCCAUAGUGGGGUCCCAAAGAGUAACAUUAUUACUAUCAAAGUCGCUCUUGCUCCAUGGAUGAAGAGUCUAAUUGCAGUGGUCAUCAUUGGUGCCAUAAUCACUGCAUUGGUUCUUCUGAUCAGAUGGUACUUUAAGAAAACAAAGGCAAAGCAGAUGCCAGUGGAGAUGUCCAGGCCAGAACCACCCCUGAACUCUAAUACUGAGAAGAUUCAAUCUGAUACCAAUGUGGAAGCCAACAGUCACUCUGGUUACAAUGAUGAUAUUGGGAACCAUACAGUGAAACCAACAAAUGAACAUAAAGAGCCUGAUCAUUUGAAAAUGGAUGUGGAAUACACUGAAGUAGAAGUCUUGACGCCUGAUCUUCCCAGAGGGAUAUAAUUUUUGCUCUGAGGACUGCUUUAGCUGCAUCUCAGAAAAUUUGCUCCUGAAAGGAAAGGAACUGAUACUGUUUACAGUGAAAUCAGAAAGGCUGAUUCAGGGGAGAACAGGCAUUCUAGAAUAGAAGGCUCCCUUGAUGCAACUUAGAAAACCAAUUACAGACAUGGAUCCCUGAUGUUCCAAGAAGGAUGAACAGAUAUUUUCCAUGUAUCCCAAGAGGACUGUAGCACUUCAUGAAUCUGAUGAUCUCCUCUUACAAACAGCAAUUUUCUCAGGCCAAAUCAUCAUUUUUCAAAUCUAUCCCUGAUCCUUCUGAGUGAGUGUGUGUGUGUGUGUGUGUGUGUGUGUGUGUGUGUGUUGUUAAUGUGUUACAAAGAUUCUAGAGAAAGAAAAGUGCUGCUAGAAAUCCUGGGUCCCAUUCUAUUUCACACUUCAGUCUUCUCUGGGGGAGUUGGGGGUUCUAUUGUCACUGCUUCCCAGAUCUUGGGGAAAACGGAACAGAAAUAGAAGGUUCAUUGUUCAUGGUCCAUUGGGGGUCUUUUGAAACUUGAAUAUUUUGUCUUGUACAGAGAUAGAGAACUUUACAAUGUGUCUACAUAAACAGAAACAUUUCUAAUUUUAUGAUAAACUACCUGUUCUAGAUGAAGGUCCUAAAGUUUUGAAGCCUAAUUUUUCACAUGUUCCUUGUGUUCAAAGAGUUCAUUGUUCUAUGCAAACUUUGUCUCCUGAAAUACAUAAUGAAGAUCAGACCAUAGAAAGGUGGCUCCUUCUGAUAUGCUUACAUUCUGGAGCUAAAAAGUCAAGCUCUUGGCAAUGGAAAAUGAUUCUUUGGGAAUGUAACAGGGUGGAGACAGGGAUCUUGUGGAACAGGGCAAGCAUUUAAAAAGUAAACUGAAUGAAACUCAGACACUCUUAAGCAUGUUUCUUUACUCCUUUUCUUCCCCCCCCCUCAAUUCAAUUCAGGCUGGAAGACAGAAACUAUCAUAGAAGGAGCUUCCACAAAUAUUUUUCUUUUAGCAAAUCUAAAUUUCUUACUAAUUCUUUUUCUUUAAUUUAUUCCUUGCUACAGAAAUUCUUGCUUACAUCACCAAAUUAUUUCAUAUGGUGUUUAAGAUGGCAGAUGCCCUUCUACAGUUUUGCUCUGGAACUCCAUCUGCAAACCUAAUUAGAGCUGCUUCCCUCUCCUGUGUGACUAUAGGUCUGAUGGGAAGGAGGAGGGGAAGAGUGUUUAUUGAAAUAAACUUGAACUUUCCUUCAGA